CUGGCUCAGGACGAACGCUGGCGGCGUGCUUCAUACAUGCAAGUCGAACGAUAAGGUCUCUUCGGAGAUACAUAAGUGGCGGACGGGUGAGUAAAAUGUAGAGAAUCUGCCCUUAAGCGGGGGACAACAGAGGGAAACUUCUGCUAAUACCCCAUAUGAGCGUAGCUGAGAUGCUAUUCUUGAAAACUCCGGUGCUUAAGGAUGAGUCUGCAUCUGAUUAGCUAGUUGGGGGUGUAAUGGACCACCAAGGCGACGAUCAGUAGCUGGUUUGAGAGGAUGAUCAGCCACAAUGGGACUGAGACACGGCCCAUACUCCUACGGGAGGCAGCAGUAGGGAAUUUUGCGCAAUGGGGGAAACCCUGAACCGCAGCAACGCCGCGUGACCGAUGAAGCCCUUCGGGGUGUAAAGGUCUGUCAGUGGGGACGAAAAAUGACGGUACCCACAGAGGAAGCAUCGGCUAACUCCGUGCCAGCCGCCGC
rnacentral:rRNA from 1 species